rnacentral:rRNA from 1 species
GAUAAACGCUGGCGGCGUGCCUAAAACAUGCAAGUCGUACGGGCUUCGGCUUCGGCCGGAGUCAGUGGCGGACGGCUGAGUAACACGUGGGUGACCUCCCUCCGAGCGGGGGAUAACUGCCCGAAAGGGUGGCUAAUACCGCAGACGGUGUCGGAUCGUACCGGCAACUCAACCCGCAAGGGGCUUGGGGAGGGGCCCGCGGCCGAUUAGCUUGUUGGUGGGGUAAUGGCCUACCAAGGCGACGAUCGGUAGCUGGUCUGAGAGGAUGAUCAGCCAGACUGGGACUGCGACACGGCCCAGACUCCUACGGGAGGCAGCAGUUAGGAAUUUUGGGCAAUGGGGGAAACCCUGACCCAGCAACGCCGCGUGGGUGACGAAGGCCUUCGGGUUGUAAAGCCCUUUUCCAGGGGAAGAUAGUGACGGUACCCUGGGAAUAAGCCCCGGCUAACUACGUGCCAGCCGCCGCAGUAACAC